GAUGAACGCUGGCGGCGUGCCUUAUACAUGCAAGUCGAGCGAACAGACGCGUAGCUUUCUUGUCUGACGUUAGCCGCGUACGUGUUAGUUACACGUGGAUAACCUACCUAUAGGUCUGGGAUCACUUCCUGUAAUCGUACCUCAUAUCGUCUAAGAUAUUGAACCGCAUGGUUCACUAGUGUAAUUCGGUUUUGCUGUUACUUAUAGAUGAUUCCGCGCCGCAUUAGCUAGUUGGUAAGGUAAAGGCAUACCAAGGCGACGAUGCGUAGCCGAUCUGAGAGGAUGAUCGGCCACACUGGGACUGAGACACGGCCCAGACUCCUACGGGAGGCAGCAGUAGGGAAUCUUGGACAAAGGGCGAAAGCCUGACGCAGCAAUGCCGCGUGAGGGAAGAAGGUCUUCGGGUUGUAAAACGCUGUUGGCAGGAACGAAAAGAUGUGCAAGAAAAUAGGGAGGUAAUGACGGUACCUGAAGAAAAAGCAACGGCUAACUACGUG
rnacentral:rRNA from 1 species